GAGUCCUACGGGGCGCAGCAGUGGGGAAUAUUGCACAAUGGGGGAAACCCUGAUGCAGCGACGCCGCGUGAGUGAAGAAGUAAUUCGUUAUGUAAAGCUCUAUCAGCAGGGAAGAAAAUGACGGUACCUGAGUAAGAAGCCCCGGCUAACUACGUGCGAGCAGCCGCGGUAAUACGUAGGGGGCAAGCGUUAUCCGGAUUUACUGGGUGUAAAGGGUGCGUAGGUGGCAGGGCAAGUCAGAUGUGAAAGCCCGGGGCUCAACCCCGGUACUGCAUUUGAAACUGUCCAGCUGGAGUGCAGGAGAG
rnacentral:rRNA from 1 species